GGGUCAGAAAUAGUACAAGUUGAACAUAAAGUUGUUGAUCUAAACAACAAGAGAAGACAAACAUUCCAAUUCCAAAGUUAUCGUCUUUGUAGAGUUAAACAAAAGCUACAUCGAGUAUGUAAUGUAGAAUUUGACUUUGCAGAAUUAGCAAAGCGAGAAUCACACACACAAAAAGGUCAUUAAUUCAACCAUGUAUAGCAAAAGAAAGAAAGACCAGCAAUUACAGGGAGUGGAAAAAAGAUACUCGGUAGAAUAAAAGUAGGAAAAGCAACUCACUUUGAGAAAGAUUCUUGAAAUAUAUAUAGUCUUUAAUUAAGCUGGCAUGUCUGGCUGGCUAUAUGACUAAUUUCAAGAACUGAAAAACAUCAUAAGAAUUUGGUAAAGUCACUUCACAUAUAUAUAUAUAUAUAUAAAGGGGUGGCUUGCUUUUAAUUUUGUUACCUAAGGCAGUCAGAGUUCAGAACCCAUGACAUCCACAGAAAUUUUUGUAACUGAGGAGAGAAUAUAGAGAAGAGAGAGAGCACUACAGAGAAAUGGGACACAGUUAAAGUUGUGUACUAGUAUAUGAAUAAAGGUCCGCC
rnacentral:lncRNA from 1 species